AUUGAACGCUGGCGGAAUGCUUUACACAUGCAAGUCGAGCGGCAGCGCGGGGGCAACCCUGGCGGCGAGCGGCGAACGGGUGAGUAAUAUAUCGGAACGUACCCCGUCGUGGGGGAUAACACAGCGAAAGCUGUGCUAAUACCGCAUACGACCUGAGGGUGAAAGCGGGGGAUCGCAAGACCUCGCGCGAUGGGAGCGGCCGAUAUCGGAUUAGCUUGUUGGUGAGGUAAAGGCUCACCAAGGCGACGAUCCGUAGCUGGUCUGAGAGGACGACCAGCCACACUGGAACUGAGACACGGUCCAGACUCCUACGGGAGGCAGCAGUGGGGAAUUUUGGACAAUGGGGGCAACCCUGAUCCAGCCAUGCCGCGUGAGUGAAGAAGGCCU
rnacentral:rRNA from 1 species